rnacentral:rRNA from 1 species
GAUGAACGCUGGCGGCGUGCCUAAUACAUGCAAGUCGAGCGAACGGACGAGAAGCUUGCUUCUCUGAUGUUAGCGGCGGACGGGUGAGUAACACGUGGAUAACCUACCUAUAAGACUGGGAUAACUUCGGGAAACCGGAGCUAAUACCGGAUAAUAUUUUGAACCGCAUGGUUCAAAAGUGAAAGACGGUCUUGCUGUCACUUAUAGAUGGAUCCGCGCUGCAUUAGCUAGUUGGUAAGGUAACGGCUUACCAAGGCAACGAUGCAUAGCCGACCUGAGAGGGUGAUCGGACACACUGGAACUGAGACACGGUCCAGACUCCUACGGGAGGCAGCAGUAGGGAAUCUUCCGGAAUGGGCGAAAGCCUGACGGAGCAACGCCGCGGGAGUGAUGAAGGUCUUCGGAUCGUAAAACUCUGUUAUUAGGGAAGAACAUAUGUGUAAGUAACUGUGCACAUCUUGACGGUACCUAAUCAGAAAGCCACGGCUAACUACGU